UUGUACACAAAUCAGGCAAAGAUGAUUUUUUUUUGUUUUAUGUUUGAGAAGGUAAAAUAUAUAUCACAUGUCUUGUAAUUUUUCUAAGUUUACUUCCUUAUGUCUGUAGCCAGGAGGAUC